rnacentral:rRNA from 1 species
AUCGAACGCUAGCGGGAUGCUUUACACAUGCAAGUCGAACGGAGUGGCGGACGGGUGAGCAAUAUAGCGGAACGUGCCCAGCCGAGGGGGAUAACUACUCGAAAGCGUGGCUAAUACCGCAUAAUAUUGGUGCGGCCGAUAGCGGAUUAGCUAGUUGGUGGGGUAAAGGCUCACCAAGGCAACGAUCCGUAGCUGGUCUGAGAGGCCGACCAGCCACACUGGGACUGAGACACGGCCCAGACUCCUACGGGAGGCAGCAGUAGGGAAUUUUGGACAAUGGGGGAAACCCUGAUCCAGCCAUCCCGCGUGUGUGAUGAAGGCCUUCGGGUUGUAAAGUUCUUUUGGCAGAGAAGCGGUAUCUGCAGAGUAAGCACCGGCUAACUACGUGCCAGCAGCCGCGGUAAUAC